UACGAAGGGGGCUAGCGUUGUUCGGAAUUACUGGGCGUAAAGCGCGCGCAGGCGGUUUUCCAAGUCAGUGGUGAAAGCCCGGAGCUCAACUCCGGAAAUGCCAUUGAAACUGUAAAACUUGAGGACGAGAGAGGUGAGUGGAAUUCCCAGUGUAGAGGUGAAAUUCGUAGAUAUUGGGAAGAACACCGGUGGCGAAGGCGGCUCACUGGCUCGUUUCUGACGCUCAGGCGCGAUAGCGUGGGGGAUCAAACAGG
rnacentral:rRNA from 1 species